GGGAUGCACAAAGAGAUGCAAUGCCGCGAGGCUGAGCCAAUCUUAAAAACAUCUCUCAGUUCGGAUUGCAGGCUGCAACUCGCCUGCAUGAAGCUGGAAUCGCUAGUAAUCGCAAAUCAGCCAUGUUGCGGUGAAUACGUUCCCGGGUCUUGUACUCACCGCCCGUCACACCAUGGGAGUUGUGUUUGCCUUAAGUCAGGAUGCUAAAGUAGCUACUGCCCACGGCACACACAGCGACUGGGGUGAAGUCGUAACAAGGUAACCGUAGGUGAACCUGCGGUUGGAUCACCUCCUUU
rnacentral:ncRNA from 1 species